UACAGAGGUCCCGAGCGUUGUUCGGAUUCAUUGGGCGUAAAGGGUGCGUAGGCCGCGCGGAGGGUGGGAUGUGAAAUCCCCCGGCUCAACCGGGGAAUAGCGUCCCAAACCGCCGUGCUCGAGGGAGACAGAGGUGAGCGGAACUGAUGGUGGAGCGGUGAAAUGCGUUGAUAUCAUCAGGAACACCAGUGGCGAAAGCGGCUCACUGGGUCUUUCCUAACGCUGAGGCACGAAAGCUAGGGGAGCGAACGGG
rnacentral:rRNA from 1 species